GACGAACGCUGGCGGCGUGCUUAACACAUGCAAGACGAACGAAGUGGCGAACGGGUGAGUAACGCGUAAUCAACCUGCCCUUCAGAGGGGGACAACAGUUGGAAACGACUGCUAAUACCGCAUACUGAAGGAGGGGAUUGCGUCGGAUUAGCUCGUUGGGGGGGUAACGGCCCACCAAGACGAUGAUCAGAGGCCGGUCUGGGAGAUUUACUGGCCACAUUGGGACUUGGACACGGCACAGACUCCCACGGGAGGCAGCAGUGGGGAAUCUUCCGCAAUGGAAGAAAGCCUGACGGAGCAACGCGGCGGGAGGGAUGACGGCCUUCGGGUUGUAAAGCUCUGUUAAUCGGGACGCGGUACCGGAAUAGAUAGCCACGGCUAACGACGUGCCAGCCGCCGCGGUAAUUC
rnacentral:rRNA from 1 species